UGUUCUGUCAGCAUAAUGACGUUGAAGGUAUACCGAAAUGCUAGCUUUACAAAUUCUACACUUGAGUGCUAGGGGAACGUGGGGAGGUAAAAGGCUUAGCCAAAUGGACUGUCAGUAAGGAGGCGUGUCCAACCCUAAGGAGCCCAGCCACUUGGGAUAAGACGUCAUUAGAGGCGGACUUGCACCCUCGGGGAAAAUAAUUAGUUGCAAAAAUAAAGGGUAUAUAACCAGGGGAGUAAAUUAGUAUGGGGAUUAUUCAAACAGUAAUUUUGGGCAGUUGUCGCGGAGGCUAUGCUGGAAGAAGCACCGACCGGGGGCCGGCCAACGCCAUCCGUCUGCAGUCUCAACGCAAAGCAUACAAAUGUGGCAAGAAGAAGGCAGAGGAGCGGGAUGUGCAGCGUCAUGAUUAAAAAUAGUGAUGGUGCCAAACUGUCCCCCUGUUUUAAUCCUUGAUUUGUUUUAAAGCAUUCCGUUAAAUGGUUCUGGAUUAUAACUUGAU